GACGAACGCUGGCGGCGUGCUUAACACAUGCAAGUCGAACGGAAAGGCCCUGCUUUUGUGGGGUGCUCGAGUGGCGAACGGGUGAGUAACACGUGAGUAACCUGCCCUUGACCUUGGGAUAACUUCAGGAAACUGGGGCUAAUACCGGAUAGGAGCUCCUGCUGCAUGGUGGGGGUUGGAAAGUUUCGGCGGUUGGGGAUGGACUCGCGGCUUAUCAGCUUGUUGUGGGGUAGUGGCUUACCAAGGCUUUGACGGGUAGCCGGCCUGAGAGGGUGACCGGCCACAUUGGGACUGAGAUACGGCCCAGACUCCUACGGGAGGCAGCAGUGGGGAAUAUUGCACAAUGGGCGGAAGCCUGAUGCAGCAACGCCGCGUGCGGGAUGACGGCCUUCGGGUUGUAAACCGCUUUCGCCUGUGACGAAGCGUGAGUGACGGUAAUGGGUAAAGAAGCACCGGCUAACUACGUG
rnacentral:rRNA from 1 species